rnacentral:rRNA from 1 species
GACGAACCGUGCGAACGUUAUUCGGAAUCACUGGGCUUAAAGCGCGUGUAGGCGGGACGGCACGUCGGUCGCUGAAAGCCCCCGGCUCAACCGGGGAACGGGCGCCGAUACGACCGCCCUCGAGGAACGUAGGGGGCCUGGAACUUCCGGUGGAGCGGUGAAAUGCGUUGAGAUCGGAAGGAACGCCCGUGGCGAAAGCGAGGUCCUGGACGUUUACUGACGCUGAGACGCGGAAAGCCCAGGGGAGCGGAACGGGG